rnacentral:rRNA from 2 species
AACGUAGGAGACAAACGUUAUCCGGAGUUACUGGGCGUAAAGGGCGUGCAGGCGGUUGAUUAAGUCUAGCGUGAAAGCUCCCGGCUAAACCGGGAGAGGUCGUUGGAUACUGGUUGACUAGAGGACGGUAGAGGCGAGUGGAAUUCCGGGUGUAGUGGUGAAAUGCGUAGAGAUCCGGAGGAACACCAGUGGCGAAGGCGACUCGCUGGGCCGUACCUGACGCUAAGACGCGACAGCAUGGGGAGCGAACGGG